rnacentral:rRNA from 1 species
UACGAAGGGGGCUAGCGUUGCUCGGAAUGACUGGGCGUAAAGGGCGCGUAGGCGGCUUGGUUUGUCAGACGUGAAAGUCCUGGGCUCAACCUGGGGAUGGCGUUUGGGACGGCUGGGCUUGAGUGGGGAAGAGGGUCGUGGAAUUCCCAGUGUAGAGGUGAAAUUCGUAGAUAUUGGGAAGAACACCGGUGGCGAAGGCGGCGACCUGGUCCUUGACUGACGCUGAGGCGCGAGAGCGUGGGGAGCAAACAGG